UACGUAGGGUGCAAGCGUUGUCCGGAAUUAUUGGGCGUAAAGGGAGCGUAGGCGGCCAUUUAAGUUUGGUCUUAAAGACCGGGGCUCAACCCCGGGAGUGGACUGAAUACUGGAUGGCUAGAGGAUGUCAGAGGAAAGUGGAAUUCCCAGUGUAGCGGUGAAAUGCGUAGAUAUUGGGAGGAACACCAGUGGCGAAAGCGACUUUCUGGGGCAUUCCUGACGCUGAGGCUCGAAAGCUCGGGGAGCAAACAGG
rnacentral:rRNA from 1 species